GUACCAGAAGUAGAUAGCUUAACCGCAAGGGGGGCGUUUACCACGGUAUGAUUCAUGACUGGGGUGAAGUCGUAACAAGGUAACCGUAGGGGAACCUGCGGUUGGAUCACCUCCUUACC
rnacentral:rRNA from 2 species